AGAGUUUGAUCCUGGCUCAGGACGAACGCUGGCGGCGUGCUUAACACAUGCAAGUCGAACGGGGCAUAGAGAUAUGCCUAGUGGCGGACGGGUGAGUAACACGUGAGCAACCUAUCCUAUACAACGGGAUAACACAGAGAAAUUUGUGCUAAUACGGUAUAAGACCACACUCCGGCAUCGGAGAGGGGUAAAAGCUGAGGCGGUAUAGGAGGGGCUCGCGGCCCAUUAGCUAGUUGGAGAGGUAACGGCUCACCAAGGCGACGAUGGGUAGCCGAUCUGAGAGGAUGAACGGCCACAUUGGAACUGAGAAACGGUCCAAACUCCUACGGGAGGCAGCAGUGGGGAAUAUUGGGCAAUGGAGGCAACUCUGACCCAGCAACGCCGCGUGAAUGAAGAAGGUCUUCGGAUUGUAAAGUUCUUUAGCGAGGGACGAAAAGAAUGACGGUACCUCGAGAAUAAGCCACGACUAACUACGUGCCAGCAGUCGCGGUAAUACGUAGGUGGCGAGCGUUGUCCGGAAUGACUGGGCGUAAAGGGAGCGUAGGCGGCACAACAAGUUAGGAGUGAAAUACCGUGGCUUAACCACGGAACUGCUUUUAAAACUGUUGAGCUAGAGUGAUGGAGAGGAAAGCGGAAUUCCUAGUGUAGCGGUGGAAUGCGUAGAUAUUAGGAGGAACACCAGAGGCGAAGGCGGCUUUCUGGACAUUAACUGACGCUGAGGCUCGAAAGCGUGGGGAGCAAACAGGAUUAGAUACCCUGGUAGUCCACGCCGUAAACGAU
rnacentral:rRNA from 2 species